UGACCAUUUGGCACAAACCCGUAGAUCCGAUCUUGUGGCAAAUCUAACAGCACAAGCUCGCUUCUGUGGGUCUUUGUCACUGUGGUGUGAACAUCG
ensembl:miRNA dre-mir-99-1 microRNA 99-2